rnacentral:rRNA from 1 species
UACGUAGGGUGCGAGCGUUGUCCGGAAUUACUGGGCGUAAAGAGCUCGUAGGUGGUUUGUCGCGUUUGUUCGUGAAAAACCCGGGGGCUUAACCCUCGGCGUGCGGGCGAUACGGGCAGACUUGAGUACUGCAGGGGAGACUGGAAUUCCUGGUGUAGCGGUGGAAUGCGCAGAUAUCAGGAGGAACACCGGUGGCGAAGGCGGGUCUCUGGGCAGUAACUGACGCUGAGGAGCGAAAAGCGUGGGGAGCGAACAGG